rnacentral:lncRNA from 1 species
CAAUUGUGAGCAUUUAAACUUGCUCCGUCAACACAUUGAUGGGAUCCGAUCUAGGGGGUUGCUCUCCGAUAUCUCACACAUUAGGUAUGCUGUGCAAAGAAGAUUGCCGAUAAAAUCUUGUUCGCAUCAUCUUCUUCUAGAAAAAGGGAUGAGCUCCUUCCUCUAAUGUCAAUCUAUUGUUGUGUCUCUCUGAUUGGGUGAUGCGAUAGAGUAGCU